AAACCUUUAACAACGGAUCUCUUGGCUCUGGCAUCGAUGAAGAACGCAGCGAAAUGCGAAAAGUAAUGUGAAUUGCAGAAUUCAGUGAAUCAUCGAAUCUUUGAACGCACAUUGCGCCCGCUGGAACUCCGGCGGGCAUGCCUGUCCGAGCGUCAUUU
rnacentral:rRNA from 1 species